UCGAGGUAAAAUAGUGAGUAGCCGACAUGGGGAAGUGAUCAACCCUUGGGAUAAGUUUAAAUCUGCUUUUUUUUUUACCCCAUAAACUUUUUACCGUGGGUAAAAAGAUUUGUCUAGGGGUAUAAAAAAAACCAGAUUUAAAUUUAGCUUUUCCCAUGAAGGCUGCUCACUAUUUUACCCCAA
rnacentral:pre_miRNA from 1 species